rnacentral:lncRNA from 1 species
CCACUGUCGUCAUCACUAUCAUUCUGACUCUUCUUGAGAGCAGGAGCGACAACUACCCUUACAGCAGCAGACGAACGAGCAGUAGAAGGUACAAUAACAGGAGCAUGAGUAGAAGAUUUUGCUUUUGCUCCGCCGGCUUCGUCAGUAGGUGACGCUUUCUUGCCUGGAUCUGCAACACGUAUAACCAAACUAAAUGAGUCGACAAACCCUUAAUGACAACUAGAUAUCUAUCUAAAAUCACUAAUAUAAAAAAACUUGCACAUCUCAUGGUAGAGUUUCUUCUAUGGAUUUUAGAUGCAGGCAAAAAAGAAAAAUCAUGGACAGAAUCCGGUGCACACAUGUUGAAACAUCCCUAAAUCGACAAGUGAUAUCGUUGGCUUCGUAUGGCUCAACAUUUCAAAUAAAAAACAAGGAGCACCCAAGAAACCAAAUAGAACUAUCCAGAAAGUAAACGAGUAAAAGUUAUGAAAUGCAGCACUACUGAUAGACAUAAACGUACAGAUGUACAAAAAAAUAAAUAUCAAACCU